GGCUCAUCGAGAGCCCGGUGUAGGGGUUCAGCACCCAGUAGGCAGCUGCUACUGGUAAGGCCGCUGCUGGCCUCCCCCUGACGCAGUGGGGACAGCCACAUGCAGGCGUCCCGGGACAGUGGAGGAUGCGGUCAUCAUUCCUCGCAGACUUCCUGGCCCCGGGGGGCUCCAGCCCCGCAAACACCUGUGAAAUGGAGCAGAGCCGGGACCUGGAGAACCAGACACCAGCUAUCCAGAGACCAGAGCUAGGAAGGAGGAACACCAUGACAAGGACAAAGUGCAGGGCUUGAAGCCAGAAGCUGGGGCCCUUAGACUACCCGGGGUCCGAAGAUUCUUUAAUAGGAUGGACCAGUCCUUGGUCUCCUGGAGACACAAUCCUGGGAGUAAGAACAGUCACAAUCACCUCCUAAGAAAUGAAGAAUCUGAGGCUUGGAGUGGGUAGGUCUCUUGCACAAUGCCACGUGGCUAUCUGAUAGGUUCAGCAGCAGCAGCAGCAGCUACCCAAGAGGAGGUUUUCUCCCCCUAGAUCUCUGAAGAUAGAUUUAAAGUUUUCUGUCACUCCAUGGAAUAACACAAAAGAUGCAAAACUAAUAGAAAUGCAAACACAGAACUAAAAGGAAGAGUUUCUUGGUGAGAUCUAUUGAUGGAAAAAAUUAAAGUAUCAAGUAAAAAUAGAAGUCCUGUUUUGGGGGCACCUGGGUGGCUCAGUCGGUUAAGCAUCUGCCUUCGGCUCAGGUCAUGAUCUCAGAGU